CUGCGAUAAGCGUCGGUAAGGUGAUAUGAACCGUUAUAACCGGCGAUUUCCGAAUGGGGAAACCCAGUGUGAUUCGUCACACUAUCAUUAACUGAAUCCAUAGGUUAAUGAGGCGAACCGGGGGAACUGAAACAUCUAAGUACCCCGAGGAAAAGAAAUCAACCGAGAUUCCCCCAGUAGCGGCGAGCGAACGGGGAGCAGCCCAGAGCCUGAAUCAGUGUGUGUGUUAGUGGAAGCGUCUGGAAAGGCGUGCGAUACAGGGUGACAGCCCCGUACACAAAAAUGCACAUACUGUGAGCUCGAUGAGUAGGGCGGGACACGUGGUAUCCUGUCUGAAUAUGGGGGGACCAUCCUCCAAGGCUAAAUACUCCUGACUGACCGAUAGUGAACCAGUACCGUGAGGGAAAGGCGAAAAGAACCCCGGCGAGGGGAGUGAAAAAGAACCUGAAACCGUGUACGUACAAGCAGUGGGAGCACGCUUAGGCGUGUGACUGCGUACCUUUUGUAUAAUGGGUCAGCGACUUAUAUUCUGUAGCAAGGUUAACCGAAUAGGGGAGCCGAAGGGAAACCGAGUCUUAACUGGGCGUUAAGUUGCAGGGUAUAGACCCGAAACCCGGUGAUCUAGCCAUGGGCAGGUUGAAGGUUGGGUAACACUAACUGGAGGACCGAACCGACUAAUGUUGAAAAAUUAGCGGAUGACUUGUGGCUGGGGGUGAAAGGCCAAUCAAACCGGGAGAUAGCUGGUUCUCCCCGAAAGCUAUUUAGGUAGCGCCUCGUGAAUUCAUCUCCGGGGGUAGAGCACUGUUUCGGCAAGGGGGUCAUCCCGACUUACCAACCCGAUGCAAACUGCGAAUACCGGAGAAUGUUAUCACGGGAGACACACGGCGGGUGCUAACGUCCGUCGUGAAGAGGGAAACAACCCAGACCGCCAGCUAAGGUCCCAAAGUCAUGGUUAAGUGGGAAACGAUGUGGGAAGGCCCAGACAGCCAGGAUGUUGGCUUAGAAGCAGCCAUCAUUUAAAGAAAGCGUAAUAGCUCACUGGUCGAGUCGGCCUGCGCGGAAGAUGUAACGGGGCUAAACCAUGCACCGAAGCUGCGGCAGCGACGCUUAUGCGUUGUUGGGUAGGGGAGCGUUCUGUAAGCCUGUGAAGGUGUGCUGUGAGGUAUGCUGGAGGUAUCAGAAGUGCGAAUGCUGACAUAAGUAACGAUAAAGCGGGUGAAAAGCCCGCUCGCCGGAAGACCAAGGGUUCCUGUCCAACGUUAAUCGGGGCAGGGUGAGUCGACCCCUAAGGCGAGGCCGAAAGGCGUAGUCGAUGGGAAACAGGUUAAUAUUCCUGUACUUGGUGUUACUGCGAAGGGGGGACGGAGAAGGCUAUGUUGGCCGGGCGACGGUUGUCCCGGUUUAAGCGUGUAGGCUGGUUUUCCAGGCAAAUCCGGAAAAUCAAGGCCGAGGCGUGAUGACGAGGCACUACGGUGCUGAAGCAACAAAUGCCCUGCUUCCAGGAAAAGCCUCUAAGCAUCAGGUAACAUCAAAUCGUACCCCAAACCGACACAGGUGGUCAGGUAGAGAAUACCAAGGCGCUUGAGAGAACUCGGGUGAAGGAACUAGGCAAAAUGGUGCCGUAACUUCGGGAGAAGGCACGCUGAUACGUAGGUGAAGCGACUUGCUCGUGGAGCUGAAAUCAGUCGAAGAUACCAGCUGGCUGCAACUGUUUAUUAAAAACACAGCACUGUGCAAACACGAAAGUGGACGUAUACGGUGUGACGCCUGCCCGGUGCCGGAAGGUUAAUUGAUGGGGUUAGCGCAAGCGAAGCUCUUGAUCGAAGCCCCGGUAAACGGCGGCCGUAACUAUAACGGUCCUAAGGUAGCGAAAUUCCUUGUCGGGUAAGUUCCGACCUGCACGAAUGGCGUAAUGAUGGCCAGGCUGUCUCCACCCGAGACUCAGUGAAAUUGAACUCGCUGUGAAGAUGCAGUGUACCCGCGGCAAGACGGAAAGACCCCGUGAACCUUUACUAUAGCUUGACACUGAACAUUGAGCCUUGAUGUGUAGGAUAGGUGGGAGGCUUUGAAGUGUGGACGCCAGUCUGCAUGGAGCCGACCUUGAAAUACCACCCUUUAAUGUUUGAUGUUCUAACGUGGACCCGUGAUCCGGGUUGCGGACAGUGUCUGGUGGGUAGUUUGACUGGGGCGGUCUCCUCCUAAAGAGUAACGGAGGAGCACGAAGGUUGGCUAAUCCUGGUCGGACAUCAGGAGGUUAGUGCAAUGGCAUAAGCCAGCUUGACUGCGAGCGUGACGGCGCGAGCAGGUGCGAAAGCAGGUCAUAGUGAUCCGGUGGUUCUGAAUGGAAGGGCCAUCGCUCAACGGAUAAAAGGUACUCCGGGGAUAACAGGCUGAUACCGCCCAAGAGUUCAUAUCGACGGCGGUGUUUGGCACCUCGAUGUCGGCUCAUCACAUCCUGGGGCUGAAGUAGGUCCCAAGGGUAUGGCUGUUCGCCAUUUAAAGUGGUACGCGAGCUGGGUUUAGAACGUCGUGAGACAGUUCGGUCCCUAUCUGCCGUGGGCGCUGGAGAACUGAGGGGGGCUGCUCCUAGUACGAGAGGACCGGAGUGGACGCAUCACUGGUGUUCGGGUUGUCAUGCCAAUGGCACUGCCCGGUAGCUAAAUGCGGAAGAGAUAAGUGCUGAAAGCAUCUAAGCACGAAACUUGCCCCGAGAUGAGUUCUCCCUGACCCUUUAAGGGUCCUGAAGGAACGUUGAAGACGACGACGUUGAUAGGCCGGGUGUGUAAGCGCAGCGAUGCGUUGAGCUAACCGGUACUAAUGAACCGUGAGGCUUAACCUUACAACGCCGAAG
rnacentral:rRNA from 1 species